UUUCUUUACCCGACCCUUUGCUUCCACGUAAGCCAGCUCAUACCAUACCGAACUACUGGAAGUGUUUCCGUACCGGUACAACGUCAUCCUCGAAGCUUCCAUAUCUUCAUCACUAAACCCUAACGCCUUUUGCAGAGCAUCCAGCACCGCCUUACCGCCGACGUGAGGAAGAAAGUGAUCGACGGCGUUGCCGUAACUAGAAUUAGGCGACCUACGGUGAUUAGGUUAGGUUUGAUUGUGGAUAUGGCCGAUGCGAGGAGGUCUUUGUUGAUGGUGAUGCCGAUUAUUCCGGCGGUGUCUUCUUCGCGAAGGAUGCAGUUGUAGGAUCGAUCGGAACUUGAUGUGUUGGUGUGUAUUGCGUGUAGGAAUUGAUAUUUGGAGGUUUUGUGAUCGGACUGGCGGUUGGAGAGGAGGAUCGCGGCGCCUCCAACGCGGAACAGGCAGUUGAUGAGGAAUUUGGAUCGAUCUUCUCCGAGCAAAAUCGCAUGUUCAAGAGUGAAUUCGCACCGGAUUGUACGGCUGGGAUGAUCGCGUACAUUUUGUACGAUAAGAGCCAUUUUCUAGUGACACAAGACAAAAUUUCAGCACGGAAUUGGACACCAGAUGGGAAAUGAUUUGGUAAGUAAGCUUCUAAAGUCUUCAAUAAUACUUGUGCAUGCAUAUGACCGGUCACAAGUAUUAAUGUAUUCAAUAAAAGGCGGUCAAAUGGGUGAGCCGUGUGGGUUUAGUAAGGUGAUAAAACGGUUUUGCUUCAUACCGAGUAUUGCUUUGUAUGGGGUGAAACAAGUCAAGCCGUGCUGAGUUGACCUAAAACACUAUUUGUCAUUCUUUUUUUUCCUUUCCAUUUUAGAAUUUAUUGUGUGUUAAAUUAGAAAGAAACAUAUUUUGAUGCAACAAUAGUAUACUAUUUUGAACAAAGCGAUUUAGUAGAUUGUUACAACAAUAGCAUUUAAAAUACAUCUUGGGUGACUUUCGACCCGUUUCUUUUUAGCUAAGUGUUUUGACUCGUUAAAGAUGAAACAUAAACCAAAACGUUCCAUUUCUAAGUGAAUAUCCAUCGCUAGUGUUUGUUGUUUUAGAUAACAAGUGUAUUAGAAUAGAUAUGACGUUGAAGUACUUUGUUUUAUAGGCGGUUAAACUAACUACAUAAAAGGAAAAGUUUUGGUAUUUUGGUCUUUGAUUUAGUACAACUUUAGAGAUACAAUAAGUUUGUUGGACUGGAAUUAGCGAUUUUAACCGACAUGGUAGUUAGGCCAGUAGGCUUAAAAGAGUCUUUGGUGGUAUUUAAACAUGCUUAUAGCCGAACAAUACAUGUGGACAAAUUCCCACUUUCCUUUUUUUUUUACUUUGAUUUGCCGUCUAGACUUUGGUGAAGUCGACCCUUAUAAACAUCCUGUACGGUUGCAUUUAGGUAUACCCAACCCUUGAAUGGUUGUAGUUUACAUUGUGUAUUGCAAACAACACAUUUAUUGAACUAACAUGGUUGCAUUGCUACACUAAUAGCAUACAUGUUUAACAGGUCUUAAAGUGAAGACCUAGGAUCACUUUAAGAACGUUUAAUAAUAAAAUUGGACUUCGCUAACUACCUAUGCGCAAAGUUUUAAAAAUUUGGUUUGUAAAGAUUAUGAUACUGAUUUUAUAUCGACAACUAAUGAGAUCUAUGGGUACCUACGACCUCGUGGUCCAGUGGUAUGGUGUUUGCCCACAUAAAAGUGAGGUGAGUUUAAAUCCUUGCUAGGUGGUAUAUAGGUGUAAAAAAUUGCAGUUGAUUGAUUUCCUCUUUUUGCAACAUAUGAUACACCUUAAAUAAUAUUUUGAUGAUUUGUAACAACUAAGAGCAUUCACAAUGGAUCCCCUAUAUAUUUGUGAGUAGGUUAUUUAUAUUAUAAGGAAUGGUUGUGAGUGGUUUUUAGUGGAGGAAAGAGAAAAUGUUACUAUUCAUAUGUAAAUAUACGCUAAACACUGUUCACCCCUAUACAAUUUUUAAUAUUUUUUGAAAGUGUUGUGAGUGGAGGAGAGAGAAAAGGUAAUGAUAAAGGUAUAAAAAAUAUUAUUUAAUCGGAAAAAAGAGAGAAAACUAGUGAUUUUUAGUGUAACUAUAGGAAUAAGGAUAAGGGAUUGAAUGUGAAUGCUCUCAAUAGAAAAUGAAAGAUAACUUGAAGGAACUGUUUAGCAAGUCCUAUUGCCAAAAGUUCUGCACUGCAUCCCAUCCUGUUAACUAUAAUGCUAUGUAGGUGUGUCCUUCAUUAAAAAAUUUGAAUUUACAUUAUGUUCUAAGAGCUUAUAAAUUAUAACAUGUAUUCACAUGUUUUUUUAAGAAUUAUUUACACAUAUGAUUCAUGUGGUCUGUCUUGAUGUAGUUUUGCUCCUCAAGUCUGGUAAAUUAUAUGCUUGGUCCAAAAUUAUGCACGAACGUAACACGUUUGGCAUCUAGAUGUUAAUACAUCUUUUUAUUUAUAUACAUUAUAAUAUAAUGAUCUAGACAUUACAUCCACUAGUCAUGUUAAAACACAUGAUAUUAUCAAUAUAGUUUCGAUUUGAAAUGUAAUUGCAACAUUACAUUUUAACUGGUAACUAAUUUUAUAAAGCUGAUUCAGAAAAGGAAAUAUUCGAACAACUUAAAAAAUUAAAACAAAAUAUUAUUGAAAUUAACUUGAAGGUGCGAAAGCUAUUGGAAAAGGUCCAAAUUCCGUAGUAGUCACCGGAUAUCGAGCAAUCUCAUCCAUCCAAGGGUUAUCAGCACCAUGAUUAACGGUCUUCAUUGCACGCCAAAUAACACUACUACACUUAAAACCCGACCCGAACGCGAGCUGCCAGACCUUAUCACCUUCUUUGAC